GAUGAACGCUGGCGGCGUGCCUAAUACAUGCAAGUCGAGCGAAUGGAUUAAGAGCUUGCUCUUAUGAAGUUAGCGGCGGACGGGUGAGUAACACGUGGGUAACCUGUCCAUAAGACUGGGAUAACUCCGGGAAACCGGGGCUAAUACCGGAUAAUAUUUUGAACUGCAUGGUUCAACAUUGAAAGGCGGCUUCGGCUGUCACUUAUGGAUGGACCCGCGUCGCAUUAGCUAGUUGGUGAGGUAACGGCUCACCAAGGCAACGAUGCUGUAGCCGACCUGAGAGGGUGAUCGGCCACACUGGGACUGAGACACGGCCCAGACUCCUACGGGAGGCAGCAGUAGGGAAUCUUCCGCAAUGGACGAAAGUCUGACGGAGCAACGCCGCGUGAGUGAUGAAGGCUUUCGGGUCGUAAAACUCUGUUGUUAGGGAAGAACAAGUGCUAGUUGAAUAAGCUGGCACCUUGACGGUACCUAACCAGAAAGCCACGGCUAACUACGUGCCAGCAGCCGCCGUAA
rnacentral:rRNA from 1 species